CAGCACCUCAAGUGGUCAGGAUGAUUAUUGGGCCUAAAGCAUCCGUAGCCGGCUCUGUAAGUUUUCGGUUAAAUCUGUAUGCUCAACAUACAGGCUGCCGGGAAUACUGCAGAGCUAGGGAGUGGGAGAGGUAGACGGUACUCGGUAGGAAGGGGUAAAAUCCUUUGAUCUAUUGAUGACCGCCUGUGGCGAAGGCGGUCUACCAGAACACGUCCGACGGUGAGGGAUGAAAGCUGGGGGAGCAAACCGGAUUAGAGACCCGAGUAGUCC
rnacentral:rRNA from 1 species